rnacentral:rRNA from 1 species
CCUACGGGAGGCUGCAGUCGAGAAUCAUUCACAAUGGGGGAAACCCUGAUGGUGCGACGCCGCGUGGGGGAAUGAAGGUCUUCGGAUUGUAAACCCCUGUCAUGUGGGAGCAAAUUAAAAAGAUAGUACCCCAAGAGGAAGAGACGGCUAACUCUGUGCCAGCCGCCGCGGUAAUACAGAGGUCUCAAGCGUUGUUCGGAAUCACUGGGCGUAAAGCGUGCGUAGGCUGUUUCGUAAGUCGUGUGUGAAAGGCGCGGGCUCAACCCGCGGACGGCACAUGAUACUGCGAGAAUAGAGUAAUGGAGGGGGAACCGGAAUUCUCGGUGUAGCAGUGAAAUGCGUAGAUAUCGAGAGGAACACUCGUGGCGAAGGCGGGUUCCUGGACAGUAACGGACGCUGAGGCACGAAGGCCAGGGGAGCGAAAAGGAUUAGAUACCCGGGUAGUG